UGUGAAAACCCAGGCUAAUCGCACGCAGGCUGCCCACUUGGCAGCAGCGAGGUGGCUCCUUGGAGGAGCCCCGGACGCCUGACACAGGGAGGCAUUCAGAGCCCUUCUUGGAAGUGCCAUGCACAUCUGAUUUAUUGUUUUCCAGCUGCCUCAGAGCUGGCUAAUUCGGGAUGCCCGCUCCUUGCUGCACACAACCCCACAAAUGAUGGCUGUAAACCGCCUGCCCCACCGCCUCCAAAAUCAGCUCGCCUUCUGCUCCUCCUGCCUGCCUGGUCAAUAGCCAGCAUGGCCCUCUCGCUCCAAAGCACAUCUGGAUUCAUAGAUUUGAACCUUUUGAUCCUGGAAAUGUAGCAGCUCCAGACAAGCCUUCCUUUGCAAUUGGCUCUGUGCAGAUUCCUCGCCCGAUUUGAAUGAGAAAGGUGAGGCUCUGUGCUGUUGAAAUGGACAAGCAAAUGUUCAAAACCAUUUUAAACAGUGGGCCAGUAUUGUUUGCCCUGAAGCUUAAGUGGAUGUGUUGUGUUUUUUUUCCUUUUUCUUUCCCUGAAACACAAGUUAUCCGCGGGCUCAACAAACCAACAUGCGGCUCCUGACAAUAACAGGGUAUCGCUCAGCCAGUUUGUAGGGCUGCCAAAGGGACUCUUCUGCUUCCCUGCCUGGUGGGUUGGCUUGGGCUUUUUGUUGCUUUUAAACGGCAUGAUAUUUUUAAAGUUAUUAGGGCAUUAAUGCUGCUUUUUAAUGAAUAAUGCUUUAUAAAACUACUGAUAAGGCAUUAACAGUAAGUUUACCUCUCAAUGCGAGUUAUUUUUUUUUCUAUUUUACUAUCCAUUGCUUCAUUAAAUCAACACUGGAAAAGACUAGCCUUGCCGAAUUUCUCACUGCACAUUCAACUGUUUGCCCAUGACAGUAUUUGAAUGUGCUUAUUAUUUCUAGUAAAGCCCUUAUCAUUUUCACUGUGAAAUUUAAAUCACCCUGAUCCAACUCUUCUUAGCUAAAGUCAGCUUUAUCAACCACAAGAGAUGUGGGAUUUUAAAAAGAUCUGAGUAAAUUCACAUUGUUUGGAUAAACUCAUUCAGGGGGUUCAGCAAAUGAAAGCUGAAAUAGAUAUGUAUUCCAAGGAGGCUGUGGACUGCUCAAAAACAAAGAAGUUAAAGCAUAAUUUAAAAAGAAAGAAAAAAAGCAAAGAAGGGGAAAAAAAAAAAAAGUUAAUGGUAUCAGUGUCGUUUUAAUGAGGGCAUUCACAACCCAGGCUUUGAAUUGGUAUUUCUGCGCCUCCACAAUAAUUCAGGUGAAAAGUAAAACAAAACAAAACCCAACAAACCAUAAAACUGUUUACGCAGAAAUAAAAUUGUUCUCUCCAAUUUACCCUGCUAUGUCGUCUGGUCAGUGUUGUGCUACCAAAAACGUUAAGGACUGCAUUUAUGCAUUAUCCCACAAUUUAAGUAACUGUGUAUCAUGUAUAUUUAAAACCAUCUCUCUGUAGUUUUAAUUAUCUCAGUCUGCAGGGACAAAAUGCAGCUCCCAUGCCUGAGCCCGAAAUGAAAGUGCUGCACGCUGACAGCUAAGAUGUCUGUCCUAGCUUGUUGAGAUUUCCUGUAAAAUUUGCAUUGAAAAGGCAGCUUUAAAUAUACUUAAAAUAAAAAGAGCAUUUGCAUCUAAUUUGCUACACUUGCAGUAUUAAAGUUUUAUCUGAAUAAAGACAUGUCAAAUGGAUUUAUAUAGUUAAGCUGAUAGCUUUUAAAGUCAACACAGUAACAUCAGCUAAAUUCAACAAAGUAAUGGCAGCAGCUAAUGGCAUUUAUUAGUUUAUCAUCAUUUACUUAAAAACCAUAACACAGAUCAUUUUAUUUUCACAUUACUGUUUGUGAUUCUUUGACUCAGUUUGUAUUGAUUCCACAAAUUAUGGCAGAAACUGACAUUUAUCUAACAGUUUUCCAAGCUCUGAAUGUUGGCUUUAGUGGGAAGCAAUUGAACUCUUGCCACACAAUGGUUUGAGCUAUGCUAGAAACAACCAUCUUCAAAUAAACACGUUUGGCAACCAUUUUAAAAUACGAUUGUUGCUUCUCUGAGGAUGACAGAAGGGUUUUUGUUACUGAUAAGG